UGUCUGAUGUGAGUGCCCGUGGUCUUGAACUACCAAAGAAAAUUCACAAGAGAUGGAGUAAUCGAGCAAGGAAGGCAUUCUUCGAUACGAUUAUAAUAUGAGUCAAGACUAUUGCUGUAGGAAAUAGAGAUUGCAUCAACUCUACUGAAACAGAAGUUCCAGAACUGAGAUCAAUCAGGAGGAGAGAGAGAAAACUGUCAAAACUGGCUGGAUGACAGCAUGACGGAGGCUUCCUAAGCAAGUUGGACAGAUACACCAAGCUGGCGACAGUGGCUGUUUGUCAGCAUUUUAGUGUUUGCAGAUGGACAAAAAGUAAUCAAAACUUUCAGGCUGUAGAUAAAUUUUUCUGCUACUUCUGAGCAAUUCUGAUGAAAAUUUGAGAAAAGAGAAAGUUGAACCACUGAAUCAGGCGGAGAUGCUGAAAGACAACACAGAAUUCCUUACUAGAAGCUGACUUCUCCAGCAAUGGCAAGUGUUAUUUACCCCUGAGGUCAAGGGCUGUGCGAAUCAAUAGCACCCAUUCUACAUAGUCAAAUUUAAAUGUUUCUGUGCCAUUGAUGUUCAUCUGUAUUGUGACAACCAAGAAUGGAAAAAUAUAUUGAGAUACUUCAUGGAAUGAGUUUACUCUUGUCUGAUCCUUAUAAACUGGAUUCUUUAAUAAUUUGGUGACCAUAAACAUAGAUGCUGAGUAAUUCCUAUUGAAAACUCUGAGGCAACUGUUGAACUACCGGCUUCCAGCUCUGUUUCUCCUGGAGCUGUGAGAAACACUUUUCAGACACAAGAUAAAAAACUGAAGAAAGAAAAAUCAACAUGCAUCACAUGCAGGAGAGAAACAGAGGAAUGAGCUUGAGUUCCUGAUAGCAUCACUGAGCCACGGAGGAGAGGCCAGCUACGAGCUGGCUUUAACUAGAUCUAGACUUGUAUAUACAAAGACGAAGCCUCUAUUUGAUUAUACAUCUGCCAUCCAGGCUCUCUGUUACCUGCAGCUAAAUGAACCUAACUGAGGGUCAAUAACAGAAUUAUUGUGAGAAUUAAAUAAUGUAUACAUAAUUACUUUAUAAAACAAUAAUUAACUCUGGAGAUGUACUAUUACUUAGAGACAGAACACAGAGCAGUGGGAAAGGCAUGAGACUUGAACUCUUGAGACAUUUAGGUUUGCAUUAAAGCCAUAAACCUUGUUAGAACUUGCUCAUAGGAAAGGGGCUAGACUGGUGCAGUGGUACAAAGUGGCAUUCUGCACUAGUGCCCAUGAUCUAGGUCUGACAGAGGCUGGGGAUGAACUGUGGUUUUAAACACCCUAUUAGGGAUGCACUUGUUCUCUCUCUCUCUCUCUCUCUCUCUCUCUCUCUCUCUCCUCUA